rnacentral:rRNA from 1 species
AUUGAACGCUGGCGGCAGGCCUAACACAUGCAAGUCGAGCGGAUGAAGGGAGCUUGCUCCUGGAUUCAGCGGCGGACGGGUGAGUAAUGCCUAGGAAUCUGCCUGGUAGUGGGGGAUAACGUCCGGAAACGGGCGCUAAUACCGCAUACGUCCUGAGGGAGAAAGUGGGGGAUCUUCGGACCUCACGCUAUCAGAUGAGCCUAGGUCGGAUUAGCUAGUUGGUGGGGUAAAGGCCUACCAAGGCGACGAUCCGUAACUGGUCUGAGAGGAUGAUCAGUCACACUGGAACUGAGACACGGUCCAGACUCCUACGGGAGGCAGCAGUGGGGAAUAUUGGACAAUGGGCGAAAGCCUGAUCCACCCAUGCCGCGUGUGUGAAGAAGGUCUUCGGAUUGUAAAGCACUUUAAGUUGGGAGGAAGGGCAGUAAGUUAAUACCUUGCUGUUUUGACGUUACCAACAGAAUAAGCACCGGCUAACUUCGUG